AUGAUUUGGCAGCAUAAGAACUGCAAAAUAACGGGCUCCAUCUGCAGACCGCUUGCAACACACAUCUACGACAACCUCAACACAGAAACCAUGACAAUAACCUUCGGUGAUGCUACUGAAGACAAAAAAAUCAAGAUUACCAAGGAAGCUACCCACAAGGUGUUUGGAUACCCAAACGGCAUGCAAAGGUCAACACCAAGGCCAGAGACUAGCCCAGCUUCAAUGAAAGAACUGAUGUCAGAGCUUGGCUUCAAAGAUACAAAAUUUGCGCCAAAACAACUGUUCGAGAAGCUACAAAUAUUGGUGGAAAUAGAUGAUGAAGAAUCAAACAGGAAAUCAGUUAAAAUAUUUUUCCUUAUUUUUUUCCACAAUGUUGUCUGCGGGUCAAGCGCCGCUAUCUUCGCCCGGACAGCUAUAAUGGUCAAGGACAUGGACUAUCCAGAAAUGGCAAAGAUGCAUUUCUGCGAGGUAAUAGUCGAAUGUAUUAGGGAAGGAGCCAAGACAUGGUAG
rnacentral:rRNA from 1 species